UUUCCUUUUUUUCUUCCGGGACGACACAAACACAGAAGUUUGCGGGGAGCGCAACCCGGACCGAGACAACAAAGCGCUUCUAGCUCGCCACAUCGCAGGGACACGCGGAGGAACCAGCCAGAGGAGCUACGCACGGCCGUACGAUGGACCGCGAAGCGAGAAGCCUGUUCGUAAACUACGCCGUUCUCAUCGUCCUGCUGCUAAUCUUAUGGGUACUCUACACGGGAGACAGUUCUGAAGCCUAACCGGAAAAUGUAGUUCUGGUUGACCGUGCACCGGUUGGGAUAUUCAAAAUGCAGUCAUCUGUUCGGAAUCAUAUGUAAACAGGCCAUACGGACUCGGAAGCAGUGGCCAUCCUCUGCAGAACCCGACGGCUGCCAAGAAGCUGCAGUUCUGACAAAAAAAGAUGAAGGGGGCCCCUCUGACAACGGAGCAUCGAAAGACGCAUGCUCACGAAUUCCACUUCGAUGGGGCCAGACAUGUUGGCCUCACAUAGUACCAAGAACAUUGUCAGCAGCAUGCAAAUUAACAACUACAAGAAAAAACUUAUUGGCACAAGCGCAGAUAAGCCCACAGAGAAGCAGCCACGGAGGAAGCAAGCAGCCUGUUGUUCAUGUAUAUAUAAAACGUGUGCCUUACACCUUACGAUAAUGUUCUGUAGAUAGAGCUCAAGCAACCGUCACUUGUUGAACACAUGCUUCUGUAAGACUCAUUUAGAGGCCUCUUUGAGGCAACUUUGUGCUUGGACGUCAUCAGUGUAUGUAUUGUGCCACAUCUCUCAUGUCAAUAAAACGUAGAGGCUGUCAUGCCAUCCAGCUAAGGUUGUAGAGAAUCAACGUCAAACAAAUAGAAAAGCUGAAAUAAAAUUUGUUAUCAAU